rnacentral:rRNA from 1 species
GACGAACGCUGGCGGCGUGCUUAACACAUGCAAGUCGAGCGGUAAGGCUCCUUCGGGAGUACACGAGCGGCGAACGGGUGAGUAACACGUGAGUAAUCUGCCCUUCACUUCGGGAUAACCACCGGAAACGGUGGCUAAUACCGAAUACGACCAGUCUUCGCAUGAGGUGCAGGUGGAAAGUCUUUUCGGUGAAGGAUGUGCUCGCGGCCUAUCAGCUUGUUGGUGGGGUAAUGGCCUACCAAGGCUUCGACGGGUAGCCGGCCUGAGAGGGUGACCGGCCACACUGGGACUGAGACACGGCCCAGACUCCUACGGGAGGCAGCAGUGGGGAAUAUUGGACAAUGGGCGAAAGCCUGAUCCAGCAACGCCGCGUGAGGGAUGACGGCCUUCGGGUUGUAAACCUCUUUCAGUACCGACGAAGCGCCCUGUCGGGUGGUGACGGUAGGUACAGAAGAAGGACCGGCCAACUACGUG